CAGCUUUGAGUAAAAAUGAGACGGAGGAUGCACAGAAGAAGAAAGAUAAUGAGAAGGGGCACGGCAAGCACAAGCCAGAAGGCAAAGAAAAGUCCAAGGAUGGACAUGGACAUGGACCUGGACAUGGACAGGGCCACGGUCGCGGUCAGGGCCACAGCCAUAAUAAGUGAAGAAGAUAAGAAGACUUUGAACGAAUAGGAAGGGGAAAUAAGAGGAUCCUCUUCCUCCUCUGAUGAGAACUGAUGGAUCCAGCUGCCCUGUUUUUCACUCUAAUCUUGUCUAUCGAUUUAAAAGAACGUAUAAUCAGCUAAUUUUCUUCCUUUCUACUAACUGGUGCCAUGGAAACAAGGCUGAGACUUUGUACCCAAACCUGAUUUUUGGAACUAAGUGUGACAAUAAAAAUAUCUAAAUGGGU